GAAAAGAACAGGUUUUUACUAUCCCAAGAACUUGCCAGUCAAGAUGAAAAACUUCUUCUAAUGGAAUCCAGCUUGAAAGCAACUCAAGACCAGCUAAGUGAGCAAAUAGCAGAAACAUUUUGCUAAGAACAGAACAGUAGAAAAUCAGAGACGAAGAGCUGGAGACCCUGAGAAAGCGUACUAUAACUUCUGAAGAAGAAAUUAGUGAUUACAAACACCAUGGUUAUGACUGGGAAGAGCUGAAUUGAUUGCAACGGAAAUCUACCUGACACUGGGCCAAAAGUUUUCAAAGCCCCACAGCUCUGUAGGUAAAUAAGAAGUUUUCUUUCAAAGUCAGUUUACCAAGGCCAUUUACCAAGGCCCUUACUUAGCAUCACAGGAAAGGCAGUGAUCAAGGAAUUGACGGAGGACAUGCAUUAAAUAGAGGUGUGUGCCUGGAAGAUGGGGAGAAUGGCAUAUUCAAUUUCCUUGUGGUAUAUAUUAAAUUUUUAAGAACGUAUUUGCCUGGUCUUCUGCUGGAUUUAGUCAAGCUUCAGCUGUCAGGUAAGUAAGCAUUGUAUAAACAUUUUCUUUUUUGUACUGAUGUUUAGCCUCCUUUCAUUCAGACUUCAUGAUUUUUACAUUUUUGCAUAUAGUAGAUUAUUUGUUGUUAGCAACCAUUAUAUCAAAAAAUAUACUGUGAAAGAAAAGUCAAACAAAGAGCUAAAUUUUCAGAGUGAAAAACAGGUUUACAUAUUGCUUCAAUACAGAAUAAACAAUAUCUAAAAAAAAAAUUCCAUUGGUUUCCUUGUUGCUCUUUAUUGUUACUCUAUCAAUAGCUGUUAGAUUUUACUCUUUCUGUUGCUGUAAGACCAAAUUAUUACACAUCUUCUAACUACUUUAUUUCUUUGAACUGAAGUUCUAUCUUUAAAAAGGAUAGUAUAUCUUAGUUACACUGGUAAAAUGACUGUUGGCUAAAAUGCAUACAAGUAGAGGAGAUAUUACUACCUGUACAAAGUGGAAUUAAGGGUGUAUGAUCCACUUUUGCUUCAUUGCAUGCUUAAUAUUGUUGGAAAAUUUAGAGUUAUAACGGUACUUCUGAGGUGAGUGUCAAAAAAUAGAAAAAUAUAAGUGUUUAAAAAAUUAGUCCAAGGAAUCUGAGCCUUGUCUAUGAGGACUCUUUAUUCGUUUCUCCUUAUUAUUCUUUUAUCGGGACUAUCACUUGUAAGUCACGUGAGACCAUUCUCCAAAAUUCACGUCAAUGAAUAAUUUACUCCAAAUUUGGUAUAAUCACAGGAGACAUUUGAGGCACCUACUACUGCUUAGUAGCAACCUGAAUGAGGGGGUUGAGCAUUUGUGUGUGUGUGAUGCUGCUCUACCAUUUCUGCUUACAUAAUGUUUUAACUUCCAUGUGUAAAGUACUUUAGAAAUUACUAUUUCAAUUUAAUUUAUUUUUCCCUUCAUUCCCCAAUAAUAAUUUUGUUUUCUAGUUUAAUUUCAGGAAACCUAUUGAGAGCUACAUGCAAAUGCCUUGCUUCAAAAUGAAAAUUUCUAGAAUUAUAGCCGCCACCUCACGUGCUAUGUACUGUAACCACUCUAUAGCAAUUUGUGCUUGUGUAAAUUGGGAUGUAGAAUAGUUGACGUCUUUUAUGUUACAUCACUUCAUGACUUUUAUCUUCCAGGUCAGAUACAACUGAAGAAAUAUCUCAGGCUUGCUAAAUUGACUUUGCACCACACAAGGCUCCACUCAGGUACUGGAAGACCUCAAUUAGGUUACUCCUGAGCCAUCUGUUUUCCAGGUUGAACAAACCCAAGUCUCUCAGUCUUUGCUCGUAGGAGAGGUGCUCCAUCCUUCUAAUCAUCUUGUAGCCCUCCCUCUGGACUCGAUCCAACAGGUUGAUGUCCUUCCUGUGCUAUAUGUGCUGUAUGUUGACAAGAUAAUGCUUUUUUCAUUCUGUGUAAUCAUUUCUGUAUAAAGUGUUGCAUAUAGUUAUAAA